AGACAUGCUUUAACAUUGCCAUAACCAACUUCUUUCUGUGUCGAUCUGUUAGACAUGUAGACUGCUUUUAUGCUCAUUUAUAGGCGAAAACCAACUACUUUAUAUAUUAGAAACACAUUGAAAGGCUCUCUGCUAGAAACUCCACCUAGACCCGGACUCUAAGAGACUCUGAUGGGAGCCAGACAAGUUAAAACCAUUGCCUGAUAUGUUCAAGGCACACCUCAAGUUUAAGUCACAAAGCAUCUACAGAAGAAUAAGGAAGAGGAGGACUCCCUGGAAGGGAGCAGAAGGAAACUGUGACACACUGGCCAGACUUGAGCUUGUUAGACCUCAAAGCUUUCCUCCACCGUGACACAUUUCCUCCAGCAAGGCCACACCUAUGCCAGCAAGGUCACAUCUUCUAAUAAUGCCAUUCCCUAUGGGCCAAGAAUUCAAACACGUGAGUCUAUGGGACCAUUCCUAUUCAAACCACCACAGGCCUCCUAAAAGAACACUCCCCUCCAUGCCUUGGUGCACCCCUAAGUGCUCUGGACUCCAGCUAAGGGACAGCUGAGCUGAAAACAGCUUUAGCCGGGGUUUACCUAGAAGUGUUCUCACAGUUUACUUCUGGGUGGCCAUUCUGGAGUCGGAAAUGAUGGCUCCUAACAAGAUUCCUCCCCACCUCCAUGCUGAUCCACAUGUCAUUCUUCAUCUAAAAGAGGACAGAAGUCAUAACAAGACUGUGUGUCCUACAGCACCAAGUACCAAGGCUGAAAAUAAGUGUGAUGGCUAAAGUUACAUUUUAAGUUUAAAUUUCUGUGCUUAAGAGGUCUAUAAAAGAAAAAUGGCCAUAACCUGUGAUGUCCACUUGCCUAAAGACAGACAGCCUCCUGGAUUGCUGAGGACUGCUGUUCAUGCAAGAGAACAAGCCACAUGUCUUCGCUUCCGUGAACAAGCUUGGUUGCCCCAACUGCACAGGAUGUGCACAUACGUGGAGGUACACAGGCAGAAAGCAUGCUUGCCCCUGGGUGAACAAGGGAAGUACGUAGCUUUGUGGGCUUUGCGUUUAUAAGCCCCUGACUUCAUGUAAUUAGCAGCCAUACUCU